rnacentral:rRNA from 1 species
GAUGAACGCUGGCGGCGUGCCUAAUACAUGCAAGUCGAGCGAACGGACGCGAAGCUUGCUUCUCUGAUGUUAUCGGCGGACGGGUGAGUAACACGUGUAUACCCUACCUAUAAGACUGGGAUAACUUCGGGAAACCGGAGCUAAUACCGGAUAAUAUUUUGAACCGCAUGGUUCAAAAGUGAAAGACGGUCUUGCUGUCACUUAUAGAUGGAUCCGCGCUGCAUUAGCUAGUUGGUAAGGUAACGGCUUACCAAGGCAACGAUGCAUAGCCGACCGGAGAGAGGGAUCGGCCGCACGGGAGCGGAGACGCGGUCCAUACUCCUACGGGAGGCAGCAGUAGGGAAUCUGCCGCAAUGGGCGAAAGCAUGACGGAGCAAGGCGGCGUGAGAGAUGGAGGUCUUCGGAUCGUGAAGCUCUGUUAUGAGGGAAGAACAUAUGUGGAAGGAGCUGUGCACAGCUUGACGGUACCUAGUCAGGAAGCCACGGCUAACUACGUG